rnacentral:tRNA from 1 species
ACUAUUUUGGCAGAUAAAUGUAAUGGUUUUAGAAAUCAUAAAAAUAUAAAUUAGUUAUAUAUAUAGUA